rnacentral:rRNA from 1 species
CUCAGUUCGGAUUGGAGGCUGAAACCCGCCUCCAUGAAGUUGGAUUCGCUAGUAAUCGCGCAUCAGCCAUGGCGCGGUGAAUACGUUCCCGGGCCUUGUACACACCGCCCGUCAAGCCAUGGGAGCCGGGGGUGCCUGAAGUUCGUUACCGCAAGGAUCGACCUAGGGCAAAACUGGUGACUGGGGCUAAGUCGUAACAAGGUAUC